rnacentral:rRNA from 1 species
CAGCCGCCACGGGAACACGUAGGGUGCAAGCGUUAAUCGGAAUUACUGGGCGUAAAGCGUGCGCAGGCGGUUUUGUAAGUCUGUCGUGAAAUCCCCGGGCUCAACCUGGGAAUGGCGAUGGAGUCUGCAAGGCUAGAAUCUGGCAGAGGGGGGUAGAAUUCCACGUGUAGCAGUGAAAUGCGUAGAUAUGUGGAGGAACACCGAUGGCGAAGGCAGCCCCCUGGGCUAAGAUUGACGCUCAUGCACGAAAGCGUGGGGAGCAAACAGGAUUAGAUACCCGAGUAGUCCCUGUCUCUUAUAC